CCCUUAGAUGUUCUGGGCCGCACGCGCGCUACACUGAUGCAUUCAACGAGGUUCUUCCUGGUCCGAGAGGAAUGGGUAACCUUUUGAAAGUGCAUCGUGAUAGGGAUAGACUAUUGCAAUUAUUGGUCUUCAACGAGGAAUUCCUAGUAGACGUAGUUCAUCAGACUGCAUCGAUUACGUCCCUGCCCUUUGUACACACCGCCCGUCGCUCCUACCGAUUGAAUGCUCAGGUGAGCCAUUCGGACUUUCAUCAUGCUGGUUUCCAGUUUUGAUGAAGGAAAGUCUUGCGAACCUUAUCAUUUAGAGGAAGGAGAAGUCGUAACA
rnacentral:rRNA from 1 species